rnacentral:lncRNA from 1 species
GUCAAAUGUAUGCAAAGCUUGGAUUUAGACAUAAAUCAUUAAGUAUCUCAAUUGUUGAGGUUAUCUUUGGUGGAAGCUAGGCUUCAGUGAAUUCACAUUGUUUAUUCUUUUUGAAAUUCAUAUUUUGGAGACAUACAGGAAAGUUAUGGGCAGUGUCCCUUCAGGAGGUAUUUAUGCCUCAAGGGAUUUCAUGAACGUUGUUGUGAGCACAAGGAGUUCACAAUUAUGGUUUAGUUUGAAACCGUUUUCCUCACAACUCCAUGUACUUGGCCAACUUUCAAAAUGCCAAGAUAAUUAGUGGUUCUUUACUCACUUUAAAUUAGCUAUUCUCUAAACUUUAGCUUAAACAAUCAUCAGUAACCUUCUUCUCAACUUCUAAACACUUAUGGAUCAGUUAAAAUUUCAGGACAGAAUGCUCUCACGGAAUCAGAAGAAGAUGCUAAGAUGCUGCUCGAUCCCUCACCUCUGUCCGAUGGACUCCCGCAGCUGCAACGAGAACAGCAACAGCAGUGGCCUAAUGUCCAGUCAGGCCUUCCGUUAGCAGACUAAUGGGUCUUUUCUGCUGAAAUCCCCUUAAUUCUUACUGUUUGUCCUCCCAUCAGGGUUUAAGCUGAAUCAGACAUUCUGUGAAGCUAAGUUCUUCUCUCUAGUUCCAAAACUUAGCCCUUGAGUUCAGAUCGGCCAUGUUGGAGCAACUGUGGCUGCCAAAGGGAAAUUUCACAGCAUCAAUACCACGAAGCAUCCUUUGGUAGAGUGGAGAUGGAGCAUGAUGAAGUUAGAUGUGUGAUGCUACACCUCUUUCCUCAAGACCAAAUCCGCGUUAUGAUGAAUCCUGACCCAGAACAUUUCUCUGCCCUGAUCCCCUCCACUGCCUGUUCUUCCUCCUUGUUCUUCACCUUGCUGGUUUUGGCUCUUAUCUGAACAGAGAUUCAAUGGCAAACUUCUCCCAGGGCACAUCUCUUCUUCUAAAAGGAAAAGACAAGCUCCUAUCCUACCUUUCUCCUGUCCUUGACCGUAAACACAUUCACCAAGCAUGUUCAUUUAAAACAGUCACUUCUGCAAACUUCCAGAUGCAGCUAAAAUGUUUCUGCCUUCAAGAAGUCUUCUUCAAACUCUGCAGAUGGAGUUAACGGCUCCAUUCUCCUGUACAGACACGGAACUUGGUUUAUAGCAUUUACUGUGUCCUCUGGUCACUUACUCACUUACCGGUGUAGAUCUCACUAGAUGUGAGGUUUUCAGUAGCAGAGGCCAGGACUUAUUUAUCUUUUUCUCUAGCACAGUUCCUGAGCCUUGGUAAAUAUUUAAUAAACAUUAAUUGAAAGACUAAAAUAAUUGAUGGACGGAUAAAUAAAUGAAUGGUCUUGUGUAUUUGUGUUGUCUCUCUGCCAGACAAUUUCUUGCUGUGCUUACGGCAUUUUUCAUUUGUUUGUUUUCAUGGUUACUACGCUUUUACAUUUAUCAAGUGGAAACCUGGGCGUCAAUUUAAAUAAGCAACCCUAAUUCUUAAUUUCCUCUUAAAUUCAACUUGAAUAACCCUUGUGUUAGUAAAACAUUGUGGGAACUUCAGUUUGUGUUUGCUGGAAAAUCCCAACUGAGUUGCUACAAAAAGGCAGAAAUUAGAGUUGGUCAAGAGGAUGACCAGAUCAUGUGAUUUGUUUUAUUGGAGCUUGUCAUCAACAUAGACAUUUGAUUUCUAAUUUAUUUGCAAUAGCUUUUCUUCCCUCUUGGUAGACUGGUAAUCAGAGGGCAAGCAGCAAUCUUGUAAGUAAGAUACAUUUGAGAAUGUUUUCCACCAACUUGAUAGUAGGGAAGUCUGGAGCCAAAUGGUGACGUUUGUAUUUUGACAGCCUCAUCUUUACUCUGUCCUUCGCUCCCUACUGCUCUGGCCUGGCUUUCCCAAGCCCUCAUAAAACGGUUUUGGCUUAGCAGAUGGCGUGCAUUAGAAGGUCUCUUCAAUUUUGUGAGUCGCAGUUUCCUCAUCUUUAAAGAUGGAUAAUAGAUCCAGAUGCUUCUGCAGGGCAAAUAUCUAAUGCUCUCAAAAAUUCUCUGUGAACACUAAGAAAUUACAUAAAUCUAAAGGAUUAUUAUUUUUAAUUUAUUAGAGGCGUCAUUUGUAGCACCAUAAUUCAGCACUUCUACUUGUGUCUCUGGAUCCUUUAAGCUGAAAACCAAGUACAGGCGCAGCUUGCUUUCCUGUGCUUUGCUUUAUUGUGCUUUGCAGGUGUUACAUUGUUUACAAAUUGAGGGUUUGUGGCGGUUCUGCAUGGAGCAAGUCUAUUGGUGCCAUUUUGCCAUCAGCAUUUCUCAUUUUGUGUCUCUGUGUCACGUACUUCUCGC